rnacentral:rRNA from 1 species
CGUGCCUUUAGGUUCGGAAUAACUCAGGGAAACUUGUGCUAAUACCGAAUGUGCCCUUCGGGGGAAAGAUUUAUCGCCUUUAGAGCGGCCCGCGUCUGAUUAGCUAGUUGGUGAGGUAAAGGCUCACCAAGGCGACGAUCAGUAGCUGGUCUGAGAGGAUGAUCAGCCACAUUGGGACUGAGACACGGCCCAAACUCCUACGGGAGGCAGCAGUGGGGAAUCUUGCGCAAUGGGCGAAAGCCUGACGCAGCCAUGCCGCGUGAAUGAUGAAGGUCUUAGGAUUGUAAAAUUCUUUCACCGGGGACGAUAAUGACGGUACCCGGAGAAGAAGCCCCGGCUAACUUCGUGCCAGCAGCCGCGGUAAUACGAAGGGGGCUAGCGUUGCUCGGAAUUACUGGGCGUAAAGGGAGCGUAGGCGGACAUUUAAGUCAGGGGUGAAAUCCCGGGGCUCAACCUCGGAAUUGCCUUUGAUACUGGGUGUCUUGAGUAUGAGAGAGGUGUGUGGAACUCCGAGUGUAGAGGUGAAAUUCGUAGAUAUUCGGAAGAACACCAGUGGCGAAGGCGACACACUGGCUCAUUACUGACGCUGAGGCUCGAAAGCGUGGGGAGCAAACAGGAUUAGAUACCCUGGUAGUCCACGCCGU